rnacentral:rRNA from 1 species
CUUGACGACCAUAGAGCGUUGGAACCACCUGAUCCCAUCCCGAACUCAGUAGUGAAACGACGCAUCGCCGAUGGUAGUGUGGAGUUUCUCCAUGUGAGAGUAGG